GUAUGUGUGGUGCAGUGGUCUGAGUGUUGGACUAGGACUCUGGAGACCAGAGUUCGAAUCCUGGCUCAGCCA